AGUGAACGCUGGCGGCAGGCCUAAUACAUGCAAGUCGAACGGCAGCACAGUGGAGCUUGCUCCAUGGGUGGCGAGUGGCGGACGGGUGAGGAAUACAUGGGAAUCUGCCCAGUCGUGGGGAUAACGUAUGGAAACGUACGCUAAUACCGCAUGCGCCCUUCGGGGGAAAGUCGGGGACCGCAAGGCCUGACGCGAUUGGGAUGAGCCCAUGUUCGAUUAGCUAGUUGGCGGGUAACGGCCCACCAAGGCGACGAUCGAUAGCUGGUCUGAGAGGAUGAUCAGCCACACUGGAACUGAGACACGGUCCCAGACUCCUACGGGAGGCAGCAGUAGGAAUAUUGGACAAUGGGCGCAAGCCUGAUCCAGCCAUGCCGCGUGAGUGAAGAAGGCCCUCGGGUUC
rnacentral:rRNA from 1 species